UAGCAGUAGAGGAAAGUCCGUGCUAUCACAGGCUGGAAUGCCUGUAGUGUUCGUGCUAAGCCUAAUAAGCUUAGGCAUCGGAAGAUGACGACGGCAUAACUCCUAAGUCGCAAGAUAAGGAGGGCGCCAUAAAGUGCCACAGAGACUAUGGCUUUGUGAAAACAAAGGGUGAAAAGCUGGUAAACUCCGCGAGAUAGAAACCCAAAUUUGGUAGGGGAGUCGCAUCAAAAGAAUCAAAAUGGCGAUGCGGUAGGGUUACCUAAGAUAAAUGAUUGAUUGAAAAACAGAACACGGCUUAUC
rnacentral:RNase_P_RNA from 1 species